GAUGAACGCUGGCGGCGUGCCUAAUACAUGCAAGUCGAGCGAACGGACGAGAAGCUUGCUUCUCUGAUGUUAGCGGCGGACGGGUGAGUAACACGUGGAUAACCUACCUAUAAGACUGGGAUAACUUCGGGAAACCGUAGCUAAUACCGGAUAAUAUUUUGAACCGCAUGGUUCAAAAGUGAAAGACGGUCUUGCUGUCACUUAUAGAUGGAUCCGCGCUGCAUUAGCUAGUUGGUAAGGUAACGGCUUACCAAGGCAACGAUGCAUAGCCGACCUGAGAGGGUGAUCGGCCACACUGGAACUGAGACACGGUCCAGACUCCUACGGGAGGCAGCAGUAGGGAAUCUUCCGCAAUGGGCGAAAGCCUGACGGAGCAACGCCGCGUGAGUGAUGAAGGUCUUCGGAUCGUAAAACUCUGUUAUUAGGGAAGAACAUAUGUGUAAGUGACUGUGCACAUCUUGACGGUACCUAAUCAGAAAGCCACGGCUAACUACGUG
rnacentral:rRNA from 1 species